rnacentral:rRNA from 1 species
UUGAAUCGUGGCUGGCAUGCCUUAUAUCAUGCAAGUCGAUGGUGCAGCGGGUUUAUGUAGCAAUACCUUGCCGGCGACCGGCGCACGGGUGCGUAACACGUAUGGAACCUACCCUUUAAUGGAAAAAUAGCCCGGAUGAAAUCCGGAUUAAUGUUCCAUAACACUAUAAUAUGGCAUCAUACUAAUAGUUAAAGUAUUUUAUCGGUAAAGGUAUAGGCAUGCGACUGAUUAGACUAGUUGGUGAGGUGAUAAUGGCUCACCAAGGCGACGAUCAGUAGGGGACCUGAGAGGGUGAUCCCCCCACACUGGUACUGAGAUAUGACGGCACAGACUCCUACUGGGAUGGCAGCAGUUAAGGGAAUAUUGGUGCAAUGGGACGAAAGUCUGACCCAGCCAUGCCGCGUUGCAGGAAGAAGGCUUUUCUGAGUCGUAAAUCUGCUUUUGAUCGGGAACAAAGAGCCCUUGCGAGGGAGUUGAGUGUACCCGAUAGAAUAAGCACCGGCUAACUCCGUGCCAGCAGCCGCUGUGAUGUAAUACGGAGGGGUGCAAGCGUUGUCGGAUUUAUUGGGUUAAAGGGUGCGUAGGCGUGCUCUUUAAGUCAAGUGGUGAAAUCCUGCAGCUCAACUGUAGAAUUGCCAUUGAUACUGAAGAGCUUGAGUACAGACGAGGUAGGCGGAAUUUAUGGUGUAGCGGUGAAAUGCAUAGAUAUACCAUAAAGAACCCUAUUGCGAAGGCAGCUUACUAGGCUGUAACUGAACGCUGAGGCACGAAAAGCGUGGGGAUCAAACAGAGAUUAUGAUACCCUGGUAGUCCACGCCGUAAACGAUGAUUACUCGAUGUUCGCGAUAUACAGUGAGCGUCCAAGCGAAAGCGUUAAGUAAAUCCACCUGGGAAUUACUGAUCGCAAAGAUUGAAAACUCAAAGGAAUUGACGGGGUCACGCACAAGCGGUGGAGCUACAUGUGUGUUAAUUACGAUGAUACGCGAGGAACCUUACCUGGACUAGAAUGCGAGGGAGAUGAUUCUAGAGAUGAGUCAGUCAGCAAUGACCCCAAAGCAAAUGGAUGCUGCAUGGCUCGUCGUCAGCUCGUGCCGUGAGGUGUUGGGUUAAGUCCCGCAACGAGCGCAAACCCCUAUCUUUAUUAUUGCCAGCACGUAAUGGUGGGGACUCUAGAGAGACUGCCUGCGUAAGCAGAGAGGGAAGGAGAGGAGAUUGACGUACAGGUCAUCAUGGCCCUUACGUUCCAGGGCUUACAACUACGUGCUACAAUGGCGCCUACAGAGUGUUGCGAGCUAGUAAUAGUAAGCCAAUCACAAAAAGGGCGUCUCAGUUCCGGAUUGAGGUCCUGCAACUCGACCUCAUGAAGCUGGAAUCGCUAAGUAAUCGCGCAUCAGCAAUGAGCGCGGUGAAUAGCGUGUCCCGGACCAUUGUACACACCGCCCGUCAAACAAUGGGAGUCGGGUGAGACCUGAAGACAGUAACCGUCUAGGAGCUGUUUAGGGGUAAAACUGGCGACUAAUGUU